rnacentral:rRNA from 1 species
CAAGUCGAACGGAAAUCUUUUAGAUUUUAGUGGCGAACGGGUGAGUAACACGUAAGCAACCUGCCUUUAAGACGAGAAUAACAAUUGGAAACAGUUGCUAAGGCUGGAUAGGAAAUAAAAAGGAAUCUUUUUAUUUUUAAAAGACCUUUUUCGGAAGGUAUGCUUAAAGAGGGGCUUGCGUCACAUUAGUUAGUUGGUAGGGUAAAGGCCUACCAAGACGAUGAUGUGUAGCUGGACUGAGAGGUUGAACAGCCACAUUGGGACUGAGACACGGCCCAAACUCCUACGGGAGGCAGCAGUAGGGAAUUUUCGGCAAUGGAGGAAACUCUGACCGAGCAACGCCGCGUGAACGACGAAGUACUUCGGUAUGUAAAGCUCUUUUAUUAAAGAAGAAACAAUAGUGGAAAAACUAUCUUGACGUUAUUCAAUGAAUAAGCCCCGGCUAACUAUGUGCCAGCAGCCGCGGUAAUACAUAGGGGGCGAGCGUUAUCCGGAAUUAUUGGGCGUAAAGGGUGCGUAGGCGGUUUAAUAAGUCUCUAGUUUAAUUUCAACGCUUAACGUUGUCCUGCUAGAGAAACUGUUUAACUAGAGUGAGAUAGAGGUAAGCGGAAUUCCAUGUGUAGCGGUAAAAUGUGUAAAUAUAUGGAGGAACACCAGAGGCGUAGGCGGCUUACUGGGUCUUUACUGACGCUGAUGCACGAAAGCGUGGGGAGCAAACAGGAUUAGAUACCCUGGUAGUCCACGCCGUAAACUAUGAGUACUAAGUGUCGGGGUUAAACUCGGUACUGAAGUUAACACAUUAAGUACUCCGCCUGAGUAGUACGUACGCAAGUAUGAAACUUAAAGGAAUUGACGGGAUCCCGCACAAGCGGUGGAUCAUGUUGUUUAAUUCGAAGAUACACGAAAAACCUUACCAGGUCUUGACAUACUCUGCAAAGCUAUAGAAAUAUAGUGGAGGUUAUCAGGGAUACAGGUGGUGCAUGGUUGUCGUCAGCUCGUGUCGUGAGAUGUUAGGUUAAGUUCUAAAACGAGCGCAACCCCUGUCGUUAAUUGCCAGCACGUUAUGGUGGGGACUUUAGCGAGACUGCCAAUGAAAAAUUGGAGGAAGGUGGGGAUUACGUCAAAUCAUCAUGCCCCUUAUGAUCUGGGCUACAAACGUGAUACAAUGGCUAUUACAAAGAGUAGCUGAAACGCGAGUUUUCGGCAAAUCUCAAAAAAAUAGUCUCAGUUCGGAUUGAAGUCUGCAACUCGACUUCAUGAAGUUGGAAUCGCUAGUAAUCGCGAAUCAGCAUGUCGCGGUGAAUACGUUCUCGGGGUUUGUACACACCGCCCGUCAAACCACGAAAGUGGACAAUACCCGAAAGCGACAGCCUAACUGCGUAAGCA